rnacentral:pre_miRNA from 1 species
UUUUUAGUAUAAAUAUGCCCCAUACGGUAUUUGGGUCAUACUUAUACUAAAA